GGAGCAAGACAAGAAUGGAGAGAUAAGGAUGGGAGGACAGGGAAAAUGAGAAUGGGGAGAAGAGAGACAAGGAAGAAGGGAAUGAGGAGGGAGAUGAAGAGGGGUUCGGACCCCGAGAGGAUCUUCACGACCGUCUUCCCAAUGUUUGCGAUCUUCAGCUCUGGGCUUCUGUGCCCGAGGAUCCCCUGAGCCCAACCAGCCUAAGCCGAUCAGGUCGCGUGGGAGAGCCCGUGACCCGAGGAGUUUUCUCUGCCCCGGGGCUAGAAUCUGGAUUCGAACCCACUCCACCCCCCAAGCUCCCGCGGCCCAGCCGAGAGGCUAAGGAGGGGCCGAGCAUCAGCUGGGAAAUAGGGAAGCAGGACUGGCGGCCCCAGCGCGAGCUGGGUCGGGCCAGCGUGGAGAGAGGGAAGGAGGGAGCGUCGGGAGGGCUGGGCCGGGAGGACUGACCUUUCCAGAGGUGCCGUCGCCCAGCAGGACGAUUUUGAGUUGCCGGUCCUGACAUUCUUCUUCCGAAUCCGACAUGGUGACCCGGGGAGCAGAUUUGCCCCCGGCUGGGGAGCGGGCUGGGGACUGCCGGGGGGCGGGGGGCUCUGGGGCGGAGGCCCCCCCCGGGGCUCAGCAACUACCGGCGGGAUCCGGGGCGAAUCACUCGCCGGGCGCCAUGUUGAGCCCCCCCCCUCAAGCCCCGGCACCCGCCCCCUCUCCCCCUCCCCUAGCGGCUCGAGCCGCUGUCAGGAGGGGAAGAACCAUUCGCAGGCCUUGAAGGGGGAAAAAGGUUUGAACGUAGGAGGAGAUGGUGACAAUGCUGGCGAGAAGGAAGCGCGAAGAAGAGUAGUCCUGUCCUGUAGAGAAAAAGUCCGGGCAAAAGGAGCCCUGAAGUGGAAGGGAAGGAGAUGAGGGGGCGUCUGGCUGUGCAGUUUUCCGUAAUCCCCCUUCCACCCCUGGGGAGUCUCAAACCCUAAUGGUUUGGCCGGUUGGCGAUGACGACGAGGACGCCGAUGCCGCGCUCUGGAGUCAGGAAUAGACUGAUAAAUCAGGUAAGGCAGGUAUUAUCAUCUCCAUCUAACAGAUGAGAAAAACAAACUGUUCCUUUAAGGCUCUCAUCUUAAGCUUCAAAAGUGAUGACCUGGCAAAUCAUUUCCCCUUUCCAGCAGACAAUUUCUACAACUGUAAAAAGAAGAUAACUUUUGCAAUACCUCUACUCCAUGGAAUUGUUAUGAAAAAAGCAUCUCAUAAGUUUUAAAAAACUAUAUAAAUAGUCUGUUGUAAUUAUUAUUAAUCUGUAAAAUGAUUAGACUAUUAGUGGUUCUCUAACUUUUUUAUCUUGAGGCCUCCUUCAACUCUUAAAAGUUACUAAGAAAUCCUCCCCAUAAAGCUUUUGUUUAUGAAAACUAUAUCUGUUUAUAUUUACCAUAUUAAACAUUAAAACAUAUUAUUGUAAAAAAUAGUUUUUACCUCAGGUCUAUAAAAGGGUGUCAAGGACCCCCAAGAGUCCCUGGACCACGCUUUGAAGAGCACUGAACUAGAUUCUCUAUUAAGGACACAUUUAGCUACAAAUCUGAUCUCACCUUGGGCUUUGCAUGGUACUUUGUUUUAGUCAGUUAGCAAACAUUAAGUGCCUACUAUAUGCCAGACACUGAUAAAGACAAACAAAAAAACUUACUCCCUUCCAUGGAAACAACAUGUACACAUGACUGAAUUCAGAGUACACAGUAACCUGGUUGAAGGCAGCAAUAGCUCCCAUGAGCAUCAAGAAGAGUGGAAGGCAAGGUCUGAGUUGAGCUCUAGAGCAAAUCAGGUAUUCUAGCAGGAGUUGAGGAGGGUGUGCACCACAGAAAAGGGAGAAUUAUCUAUGCAAAGACAAAAAAGGAAGGAUGGAAUGUCAUGUGUGGGGAAAGAUCUGAUAAGCCAGUUUGGCUGAACCCAAGACCACAAGAAGGAGGGGAGGCUGGAACCAGUUUACAACAUUCUCUAAAAUGCUUGUUUGGUCAGAUAGGUGGUGCAGUGGACAAAGUACUGGACCUGGAGUCAGAAACAUUUAUCUCUCUCAGUUCAAAUCUGGCCUUGGACAAGAAGUAGCUGGGUGGCCCUGGACAAGUCACUUAACCCUGUUUGUCUCAGUUUCCUCAACUAUAAAAAUGAGCUAGGGAAGGAAAUACCAAACUAUUCCAAUAUCUUUGCAAAGAAUACCCCAAGGUGGGCUUGAAAAGUUAGAUACAACUGAAAACAACUGAACCACAAACAAAAUACUCGGUAGUUCUCUGAUGUAUUUUUCUUGUGUAGUAUCAGAAGUUAAAGUGUCUUUGUUGGUGCUAAGUCCUUAUUAGUCAUUUAAUAUUCAGAGUUGCCAAAAAUGGAAUGGACUGCAUUAAUGUGGUAAAGAGGAAAAAGUGCCCUAAUUGCAAUAAAAUCAUAUGAAUUCCAGCUCUGCUUUUCUUACUGCCUGAAUAAUUUAGCUAAUUCAGAACCUCUUAUUAUAUUGAUCAGGAACCUGUGACAGCUACAGUCUACCUUCUGAUUCAAGGUACCACUAAUGUAUGAAUUCCUCCCUAGAGAAAUAAGGUCAAAUGAGACUAAAGCCCUGCCCUGAAUUUAAAUCUGUUUUUUACUCAAUAUGUACUGAAACUACCAGUGUAACUCACAUUCCCUUCCGAAUAGAAGAAAUACGUAUGAAGUGUUGUGUAUUAUAGCCCUUUUUGCUUGCAUAUUAGUUUUCUUUGAAGUAGAUCAUAGCCAUUUAUAAUAUAUUAGGUAGUUCAUUAAAAUUAAAGUUUAGCCCCUUAUGAGAAGCUUUAUUGCUCUGAUAUCCUCAGAGCCCUUACCCCAAAUAAAAUAAUAAUAGCUUCUUCCAAUAUAAUUUUCAGGAUAAUUAUUAGUAUCUUCACUAAGCAUUUUGACUACACUGAGAAAAUUGGCAAAUCCAAAAGUUACUGAAUAUAUGCUGUUGUUUGGAUAAUUAUGAGAAACUACCAAGAAUAAAUUUCACAUCUAGAGAGAAUAUCCACCUGGGUCUGAGGCUAUGAAGAUACUACAUAGCCAUCCACAUGGGAAGUACUGCUAAUUGUUAGCAAGUGAACAGGAGACACUGACCACCUCUCUAGGCUCUGAAAUUAGUCAUUCUGAUUUAUAUGAAGAAUUCCCAAGGUGAAACCCAGGACUUUAGUCCUAGCCCACAGGUUACAAGAAAUGAGGAUUGAUGACUUAAAUAUGAUGAACCUUAAUUUAGGACCUUGAGUCUAGAUUUGACCCAAUGAACAACAGAGAUUCCCUGUAAGUUCUUGAACAGAAAAGGGAUGGGAUGAAAAUGCCUAAUAAAAAACUACUUUUGCAACUAUGUACAAGAAGAAAUGAGAGGCUAAAAGUAGCACAAUUAAUUAGGAAAUUAUUGCAGAUGAGAGAUAACACCUUUGACUCAUGCUUCUUGGUCUUUGCACAAGUGUUCCCUCAUGUCUAGAAUACAUUCCAUUACUUUGAAAUCAGUUCCUAGCUAGCUCAUGAGUCACCUACAUAAGACCUUUCCCAAUCCAGUUCUUAGCCCUUCCUCCCUCUUGAACUGCUGUUAUAUUAUUUCUAUAUAAUUUGUUUACUUAACACACAUUGUAAACUUCCUAUUAGAACAAAGACUAGUUAACCAGAGAUCUGCUUUGGGUGAGAAAUGGAAAAGAUAUUGAUGGAACAAUGAAGCAUCAUAACUUAGCACCUCAUUAUAAAGAAUUAGUUAAGUAAAUGGAACCAGAAAAAAGAUAUACAUGUCUACAACAAUAUAAAAAGGGGAAAAAAGACAACUGCACUGUGCAAGUAUGAUGACCAAGCUUGACCCCAUUGAGAGAAACAGACAGACAAAAGAGAGAAGUGCAUCUCAAUCAAUCCAAUCUCUUCUCUGUCUUGAGGAGGUAGGUGUGUAGAACACUGAAUAUGCUGAUGGACUAAAUUGACAUGAUGAUUAGUUUUAAGAAACUUUUUUUUCUCCUUUUGUUCUUUGUGUUCUUGAAGAGGAAUGGCUCACCAAGCAAAUGAGUAGGGGAAAAUAUCCUAGAAAAUGAAAAUGAUAUAAAAACAAAAGAUAGUAUUAAAAAUUAUGCUUUUGAAAAAAUAGUUCAAAUUGGCAAGGAGCAGACUGGGUUUGUUGAGAUCUCCCCCCACCCUCCUGAAUUGAAGGUGCAGUUUGUAUGGCCUGUUCUGAAUGUAGUUAAAUAAGUGACAAAAAUUCCUAGUUUUUCCUAGGUUUAUAAGGCUAACUGUAUGGGUGGGAGAGGAACUCCCUCAUUC